rnacentral:rRNA from 1 species
GAUGAACGCUAGCUACAGGCUUAACACAUGCAAGUCGAGGGGCAGCAUGGUCUUAGCUUGCUAAGGCCGAUGGCGACCGGCGCACGGGUGAGUAACACGUAUCCAACCUGCCGUCUACUCUUGGACAGCCUUCUGAAAGGAAGAUUAAUACAAGAUGGCAUCAUGAGUUCACAUGUUCACAUGAUUAAAGGUAUUCCGGUAGACGAUGGGGAUGCGUUCCAUUAGAUAGUAGGCGGGGUAACGGCCCACCUAGUCUUCGAUGGAUAGGGGUUCUGAGAGGAAGGUCCCCCACAUUGGAACUGAGACACGGUCCAAACUCCUACGGGAGGAAGCAGUGAGGAAUAUUGGUCAAUGGGCGAGAGCCUGAACCAGCCAAGUAGCGUGAAGGAUGACUGCCCUAUGGGUUGUAAACUUCUUUUAUAAAGGAAUAAAGUCGGGUAUGUAUACCCGUUUGCAUGUACUUUAUGAAUAAGGAGCGGCUAACUCCGUG